AACCGUUAUGUAUGAGCGCAUUUUUUGAAAAGAUAACGGUUUUGACAAAAAACCGUUAUCUAUGUACUGUUGUCCAUGGAAAUAGAUAACGGUUUUAGUGAAUCCGUUAUGUAUGAGCGUUAUCUAUUAGUUGCAUACAUAACGGUAUUAUCGAACCGUUAAGACAACUGCUAUCUAUUAGCGUCUUUUUAUAACGGUUGUUUUAACCGUUAUAUAUGAGCGCCUCAAUACUGUUAUGUAUUAGUAUUUUUUAUAUUUAUUUUUAAAUUUAAUAUUUUAUUAUAAAAUAUCAAAACCCUAACAUUCCCCACCAAAUUUUCCCAAAUCGAACUUGGCCUCUUUCUCUCUUCACCAUCGUCGCGCCCUGCCACCGCCGUCGCGACUCGCCGCCACGACCAGCGCCGCUGCCACGCCGGUCGUCUGCUCGGCCGGAUUCCACCAUCAUUUCCCCUAAAUUGGUUUCCGACCUCAGGGCUAGGGUUCCGCCGAGCAGGAUUUUGAAGAAGGCGUCGGACGACGCGGUCGUCUCCUGCCUGCGGAUUGCCACUCCCAUCGACCAGCUGCCCCGAAUCGACGCCUAGCUUGCCCAGUCGCAGCAGGUCGUCUCCAAGUAUUCCAUCCUCGGCCUCGCCCACCACCCGUAUGAUAAAGACCUCGACAAUUUCAUGGUAAUUUCACCUAUUUUUUACAAUCACUUUGGAUUUUCUAAGAAUGAGUUUGUUGUCUCCCACCCCGUGCAAUCGAUGGAGGUCUAAGCAUCCACCCACGCCGCCGGAAGCCGCCGCCACCAACCCGCUGCAAGUGUCCGACAACGCCCCUGCUUCCGCUCCACCGCCGUCGCACCGGCAUCUCUCUUUUAUCUCCGGGUUUAGGUCUCUCUCUCACACAGUUUCUAUAUAGUUUCUUCUUUAUCUAAUUGAUCUCUCUCUCUCUCUCUCUCCAACAGUGUGUGUCUUCCUUACCCCCAGCCGAUUGCAGUUGCUUCACCAUUGCGCGGUUGUCAAAUCUGGCCUUCUGAAGAUUCUCUCAAAAAUGGGCAUCUCAAUGCUCUCCAGGUUCUCACGGAUCUAUUUGAAAUUAAAAGGGAUCGUUCUCCAAUCCCACUUGGAAAGGUUGAGCCUACUACCUCUAUUGUUCAGCGAUUUUGUACUGGUGGCAUGUCACUUGGUGCAAUAUCUUGUGUUAGAUUUCUGAAAAUUUGCAGCUUUUCUUUGUGUGUGUGGAUGAACUUGAAUUUGGUGUGAAUGAAUUUGAAAUUGGUGUUGUUGUUGAGGCUAUUGUAGCUAUGGCAUCUUGUAUUCCAUGUGCAGCAGCUAAGGUGGUUACUUAAAUCUUCUCUUGAUUUUGAAGUAUAUUAUUUAAGGCAAGAGAGAGAAUGCUCUUAUCUUUUCAUAGUGAAAAUAUAGCUGAACUGAGUACUUAUUAACUUCUGCAGUAAUAGUCAAUGCUAAAAGCUCAUACCACCAAGUCCUGCUAUCUUUUAUUUUUCACCAGUCUCUCUCUAUAAUCAUUUGUAGCGGAUGCUUCUUUAAUUGACAUUGCCAUAGCAACAGUGGCUUUGGGUCUUUCAGAAAAUUGGGGCCACAGUUGUUUUGCAUCUGCAGGUAUAGUUAGAUAACACUAAUGUGUAUUCCGUGUUUGAUACCUUGAGUCGAUAUGUCAAUGUCCUGAUUUUAGAAGUUUCUGUGACUUUUUUAUCCACAGCAGCAGUCAGGAAAUUAUUUCUUCAGUUUAUUAUCUCUUUGAAAUGCUUACAUGGAUGUACGUGCAACAUCAUAUGCUGAUUGCCAUGGAUGGAACUAGCCGACUAGCUUCCCUGCAGUUUCUUGCUGGUAAAUCAUGCAAAUUCGGUUGCUGGCUUAAUGGUAUGUAGCAUCUCCUUAUAUGAUAGGUUGAUAUGGGCAUCAUCUUUUUGGCCACAGUAACUUGUUCCGGUCAUUGCUUCGUUCUGUUAUAUUGUUCUGCAAACUAGAACGCUGGCAUUUUCUUUAAUUUGUAUGAACAUUUAGCUAGUUUUGCUUCGUGAUAGCAUCUGACAUUCUGGGCAGAACAUUUGAUGCAGAUGCACAAACAAUUCUAGCUCGCGAAGGAAAUAUUGAUUUAUCAUUUUUCCAAAGGUCAUUACAGGGGUGGAAGUCUAAAAUAGUGGAGGUCUAAUCGUUGCUUGGCUAUUGCAACCAGUGGAGGUCUAAACCAGCAAAGGACCGGGGUGGAAGUCUAAAAUAGUGGAGGUCUAAUCAUUCUUUCACUUAUUAAUUGAUUUUUUUCUAUGGGAGUAUCAUGAUGCUCUACAUUGUGAUUCUUGGUUGGCUCUUUGUAUGAUUUUGUGGCAGGUUUGUGGUGGAUUAAAUGAGUCGUACGUUGAGCUGGAGAUACUUGUGAAUUCACAAGAAAAUUGUACCGGAUGGCUAGCUAGUUGCAUAUUUAAUAUGUUUAAUAUUUUUGUAAGGCAUAAUAGUAUAGAUAGAGCAGUUGUUGAAUUUUGACUAUAUUCAAAUCUUGUAUGAAUUCUUUUUUAUGAUAAUAAUAUAAAAUUAAA